CCCCCUGGUCCUGGAUGCAGCCCCUGAUGAACUUGCAGUAUUUUCAUUAUAUGAUUGGGCUCCAUGGCUGGUAGUCCCUCUGGCCCUGGUCCAGAUCCUGAGACAAUUGAGAAAAUAUGACAAGGGAAGUGGGACCAGAGAACCAUGGG
ensembl:scaRNA